CACUCAUCGAGACCGGCGGAGGGACAGGCCCUUUGAUGCCGGGGCAACCUGCGAAGCUAACCACUUCGUGACGGUGCCAAGUCCUGCGGCGGGCGAAAUUGUCGUCUGCCGGGAGAUGAGUU
rfam:Gammaproteobacteria bacterium SG8_31 WOR_8-12_81, whole genome shotgun sequence.